UACAGAGGUCUCAAGCGUUGUUCGGAUUCAUUGGGCGUAAAGGGUGCGUAGGUGGCGAGGCAAGUCAGAUGUGAAAUCCCGGGGCUCAACCCCGGAACUGCAUUUGAAACUGCCUUGCUCGAGUACUGGAGAGGAGACUGGAAUUUACGGUGUAGCAGUGAAAUGCGUAGAUAUCGGAAGAACAUCAGUGGCGAAAGCGACUUCCUGGACCAAUACUGACGCUCAUGUGCGAAAGCGUGGGGAGCAAACAGG
rnacentral:rRNA from 1 species